ensembl:lncRNA
UCUAAAUCGCAGGAAAAGUUUAGGAUAUAAGGCCCUCGCCUUUUCAGGCGACCAAAGAAAGGGGGCAGUUGACGUGAAAGGCCGUGAGGUGCUAUUCUUCAUCAGUUAAGUGGGUAAAAAGAGGAGUGGAGUGGGUUUAAAAUGUGAUUUUCAAUUUCCUUUUGGAAGCUGUGGCUGUGAAUCUGCAACAUGCAGUCAAAUGAGGUGAAAGUUAAAGUGCCUAAAAAACUGUGAGCUCAGCAACAUAAAAGGGACUGAACUUCAACAAAGGGCAACAGUGGGGUAGAUCAUCACAACAUCCGAGUUGUGCAUCCAAGAGAGCACUCUCCAGCAGGUUUGUUUGCAGGAGAUAGAGCCGAGUCAGAACGACUGAUGACGUUGCUGAAUGGAGCAAGCAAAGGGUGGGCUUAAGGCCUGCACUGGAAUAUGAGUGGAGCAUGCGAGCACACCCCCAUGCCUGUCAUGACUGAGAAAGAAACAGCUACCUGGAAAACAAGUUGACCUGAUCUUUGGCAAGAAAAACAAGAUGUAAUUUUUUCUCGAAAGAAAAAAGAAAUCGUAAAUAUAUUUUUCCUUUCAACCGCAAACUGGGAUAAUCUUCUAAGUAACCUGCAAUUCCAGGAAAUGUGAGACAAACAUGACACUUGAUAGCUGUGAGGUUACAUAGCUCAGUGUCACUACUAAAAAUGGGAAUCAAAGUCUCUUAUAAACCAAGCUAUAGUUUCUAUCUAAAAUCUUACUUGAUAAUGCACAAAAUCCUUCCUUGCUUCAAGAGAAUUUUAAGGGUUCCCUUGUGAGUAAUAAACAUGAAAUUAGGGUAUUGAUAGACACAAAGACUUAAUGAUACAGACAGAAGAGUUGUGGCUGACCAGCAGCACUGUAAACACUUACUGCAACAUGGAUAUCUCUCCCUAUGAAGCAGCUGACCCUUGGCUAUUUUUUGCCCCAGUCGCCGCAUCAGAUGAUUGUGUCGUCACAGCAAUGCGAACACAUUUUAUUAGGGUGCUGUUUACUAAUCUUCGGACAGACUGUCAAGGACAGGGUACAUAACGUGGAUAUUUUCUAGGACUUCUUUCUGGUAUUUGGAACCUUUGGAAGGGGGAAAAAAAUAAAUAAUACUGAUAUAUUUAAAGCAGAUUUUUGUCCACAUGAAAAUAAUGGAACAAUGACCCAGACAUGUUUACAUUAAAAAGUUGUCCUGUUGAGACACAGUCAACAGUUGGCCUGUUGACUGUAUAUAAAAGAUGGACACAGCCUCCAAGUCAACGUGUCAGUCAAUGAGGAAAUGCCUAAUAGUGGAAAUAUUUCUAAUGGCCAGCAGGGGGCGAUGUUUUUUCCUGCAAAAGAAAGUCAGACUGUAAAAAAAAAAAAAGAAAAAGAAAAGAGUAUGUUUAAAAACAAAUGUACUAUUCUCUUCAUCUCUGAAUUCAACAAUAAACACCUCCCUUCUGAUUUUAUUGUUUUUAUUAUA